AGAUUAUUUUAAAGGGCCGCAGUAUUAAUUGUGCUAAGGUAGCAUAAUAAUUAGUCUUUUAAUUAGAGACUAGAAUGAAUGGUUGAACGAAAUAUAAGUUGUUUCAAAAUUAUAAAAAUAAAAUUUAUUUUUUUAAUUAAAAAAUUAAAAUAAAUUAAAAAGACGAGAAGACCCUAUAGAUCUUUAUAUAAAUAAUUUUUUAAAAUUUAAAAUUUUUAUAUUAAAUUGGGGUGAUUAUAAAAUUUUAUAAACUUUUAUUUUUAAAUUCAUUAAUUUAUGAUUUAUUUAAAUUGAACUAUUUUUUAUAAAAUAAGAUUAAGAUACCUUAGGGAUAACAGCGUAAUUUUAAUUUUAAGUUCUUAUUGAAAUUAAAGAUUGCGACCUCGAUGUUGAAUUAAAAUUAAUAUUAA
rnacentral:rRNA from 1 species